AUGCUGAAAGUAUCACCGAUAACGUCAUUCUGAGGUUAAAAAGAAAUGGCUGAACGUGAAACAUGUAUCUACAAAGAAUCUAGAAUGGCCAAAAGAAUUCUUGGGUUUUGCAGAAGAAUCAAAACUUACUGAACAGAUACUGAGGCCUGCGAAUUCAAAGAGAAACGCUGAAUGCUUCAACUCCUUUAUCUUGUUCCCUUUUUAGUCAAGCUUGUCUAUUCCCCCAAAACAUUAAACUGUGACGUGUUACUCUUGGACCUCCAGACCCUUUAUUCAUUCAUUUAUUUAUUUAUUUGUUUAUUUAUUUAAAAAUAUUUUAUUUAUUUAUUUAUUCAUGAGACACACACACACACACACACACACACACACACACACAGAGGCAGAGACGCAGGCAGAUGGAGAUGCAGGCUCCCUGCGGGAAGUUGGAUGCAGGACUUGAUCCCAGGAUCCCAGGAUCCCCAGGAUCGUGACCUGAUCCGAAGGCAGGCACUCAACCACUGAGCCACCCAGGUGCCGCUUUCCAGACCCUUUAAUGAAAGCACCAGACUCUGGCAUUUACCAGCUUGGGGUCCUGCGGAAGUCACUUAUGAUUGCUGAGCCUCAGAUUCCUGAUCCGUUAGAGCUUCAGAUGAAAUUUCUUUUUCUCAUUUGGUUUAAACUGACGGGAAAGGACAUUGGUGAUUUUUUUCCCCCUUUAAGACCCAAGAUCCAAAGAACGACAUGCUCCAGGCAGUGGUCAGAAUGUAAAGAGCCUACUUUGGAAAUCUGGUCAUUUGUCUUCUCUUCAAAAAAGAGGCAGGAUGGCUCACAUGGCUGCUCUUUGUUCACCCCAGCUCCUCAAGUAGCUUUGCUGACACUAGCACAGGGCAACAUACGACUUGAGGUGAGUCAGCAGGCAUUUGUUAUUUCCACCCUUCUCUUCCUCCUCCUUCUUCUUUUCACUGAAGUGUAA
rnacentral:lncRNA from 12 species